rnacentral:rRNA from 1 species
GAACGCUGGCGGCAUGCCUAACACAUGCAAGUCGAACGAGACCUUCGGGUCUAGUGGCGCACGGGUGCGUAACACGUGGGAAUCUGCCCUUGGGUUCGGAAUAACAGUUGGAAACGACUGCUAAUACCGGAUGAUGACGUAAGUCCAAAGAUUUAUCGCCCAAGGGAUGAGCCCGCGUCGGAUUAGCUAGUUGGUGGGGUAAAGGCCUACCAAGGCGACGAUCCGUAGCUGGUCUGAGAGGAUGAUCAGCCACACUGGGACUGAGACACGGCCCAACUCCUACGGGAGGCAGCAGUGGGGAAUAUUGGACAAUGGGCGAAAGCCUGAUC